GUCUGAGAGCGCGUUCCUGUUUAUAGUUUUCUACCUGGUUUUUGACUUUGGCUUUGUUUAUUGACUUCUCUAUAUUCUGGUAUCCUGACUCCUGGCUUUCCUCAUCGCUGUGUCCCUUUCUGUGUUCCCUGACCUCGGCUAGUAUUUUUGACUAUUCUUUGUACGUUAAAUCCGGCCAUAGGCGUGCGCACGGGGUGUGCCGGGUGUGCCUGGGCACACCCUAAUCCCCGUGGCACGCCUAUGGUUUGAGUCCUGCAGGAACAGCGUUCCUGC